rnacentral:rRNA from 1 species
CCUGGUGGCGAGUGGCGAACGGGUGAGUAAUACAUCGGAACAUGUCCUGUAGUGGGGGAUAGCCCGGCGAAAGCCGGAUUAAUACCGCAUACGAUCUACGGAUGAAAGCGGGGGACCUUCGGGCCUCGCGCUAUAAGGUUGGCCGAUGGCUGAUUAGCUAGUUGGUGGGGUAAAGGCCUACCAAGGCGACGAUCAGUAGCUGGUCUGAGAGGACGACCAGCCACACUGGGACUGAGACACGGCCCAGACUCCUACGGGAGGCAGCAGUGGGGAAUUUUGGACAAUGGGCGAAAGCCUGAUCCAGCAAUGCCGCGUGUGUGAAGAAGGCCUUCGGGUUGUAAAGCACUUUUGUCCGGAAAGAAAUCCUUGGUUCUAAUAUAGCCGGGGGAUGACGGUACCGGAAGAAUAAGCACCGGCUAACUACGUGCCAGCAGCCGCGGUAAUACGUAGGGUGCGAGCGUUAAUCGGAAUUACUGGGCGUAAAGCGUGCGCAGGCGGUUUGCUAAGACCGAUGUGAAAUCCCCGGGCUCAACCUGGGAACUGCAUUGGUGACUGGCAGGCUAGAGUAUGGCAGAGGGGGGUAGAAUUCCACGUGUAGCAGUG